rnacentral:ncRNA from 1 species
AUUGGGAAUGAGGUUCUCCCUUGGUAGAUGUGAUACCUAAACCGCUUAUGAAAGCUGAUGACUUCUGCGA